rnacentral:piRNA from 1 species
UAAGUGAGUACUGUAGCUUAAAGUUUCUGA